GGAAGGAUGGCCGAGCGGUUGAAGGCGGCGGUCUCGAAAACCGUUAUCCCGUGAUAAACGGGAUCGAGGGUUCGAAUCCCUCUCCUUCCGUCA
rnacentral:tRNA from 1 species